GCAGUGGUCACUCAGUGGUAGACUUCCGUUCUUCCACGCUGGAAACCCAGGUUCAAAUCCUGUCUACUGCA
rnacentral:tRNA from 1 species